rnacentral:rRNA from 1 species
GACGGAUGGGGCUAGCGUUAUUCGGAAUUACUGGGCGUAAAGGGCGCGUAGGCGGUCAAUUAAGUUAGGCGUGAAAGCCCUGGGCUCAACCCAGGAACUGCGUUUAAUACUGGUUGGCUAGAGUAUGGUGGAGGAAAGCGGAAUUCCUAGUGUAGAGGUGAAAUUUCGUAGAUAUUAGGAAGAACACCAGAGGCGACGGCGGCUUUCUGGACCAUUACUGACGCUGAGGCGCGAAAGCGUGGGGAGCAAACAGGAUUAGAUA